rnacentral:rRNA from 1 species
GUGAAACCGUUCGGGGGUAAACCUGAGAAACCCGAAAAUUCGAAUGGGGAGAUUCAUCUUCAGUGGGGCUGGCUUCGCGGUGGUUGGCGAUGCUACGUACUUCGGUACGGUGGCACGUCGCCGCUGUGUAUGUCCGGUCUCGCGGUUGUGCACUUCUCCCCUAGUAGGACGUCGCGACCCGCUGGGUGUUGGACUACGGCCCGUAUGGUAGACUGUCUCGUCGCUUCGGCGUUCGAGGCAGACCUUCGGUGUGUCUCUCCUUCCCGUCCAACUGCUCGGCGGUAUUUUGCGAUAGUAUUCGGCCGCAACAAACAAAUUCGAACGACAUGCGUCUUUGGCCCGCGGCAAGCACAGCUUUGGCACGCGGUGUCCUCGGACAGGCCGCUUUACUUGUUUGCGACGCUAUUGCUUUGGGUACUCUCAGGACCCGUCUUGAAACACGGACCAAGGAGUCUAACAUGUGCGCGAGUCAUUGGGACAACAAAACCUAAAGGCGAAAUGAAAGUGAAUGUCGACCUCGCGUCGACAAAGGGAGGAUGGGCGGUCUAACAUAGCCGCCUCGCACUCCCGGGGCGUCUCGUUCUCAUUGCGAGAAGAGGCGCACCUAGAGCGUACACGUUGGGACCCGAAAGAUGGUGAACUAUGCCUGGUGAGGACGAAGUCAGGGGAAACCCUGAUGGAGGUCCGUAGCGAUUCUGACGUGCAAAUCGAUCGUCGGAACUGGGUAUAGGGGCGAAAGACUAAUCGAACCAUCUAGUAGCUGGUUCCCUCCGAAGUUUCCCUCAGGAUAGCUGGCACUUGAACGAAAUAUCAAACGAUUUUCCAGUCUCAUCUGGUCAAGCGAAUGAUUUGAGGCCUBGGGGCCGAAACGACCU